rnacentral:rRNA from 1 species
AGUGAACGCUGGCGGUAGGCCUAACACAUGCAAGUCGAACGGCAGCACAGUAAGAGCUUGCUCUUACGGGUGGCGAGUGGCGGACGGGUGAGGAAUACAUCGGAAUCUACUUUUUCGUGGGGGAUAACGUAGGGAAACUUACGCUAAUACCGCAUACGACCUACGGGUGAAAGCAGGGGAUCUUCGGACCUUGCGCGAUUGAAUGAGCCGAUGUCGGAUUAGCUAGUUGGCGGGGUAAGGGCCCACCAAGGCGACGAUCCGUAGCUGGUCUGAGAGGAUGAUCAGCCACACUGGAACUGAGACACGGUCCAGACUCCUACGGGAGGGAGCAGUGGGGAAUAUUGGACAAUGGGCGCAAGCCUGAUCCAGCCAUCCCGCGUGGGUGAAGAAGGCCUUCGGGUUGUAAAGCCCUUUUGUUGGGAAAGAAAAGCAGCAGGUUAAUACCCCGCUGUUCUGACGGUACCCAAAGAAUAAGCACCGGCUAACUUCGUG